AGCGCAGGCGGGAAGACAAGUUGGAAGUGAAAUCCAUGGGCUCAACCCAUGAACUGCUUUCAAAACUUUUUUCUUGAGUAGUGCAGAGGUAGGCGGAAUUCCCGGUGUAGCGGUGGAAUGCGUAGAUAUCGGGAGGAACACCAGUGGCGAAGGCGGCCUACUGGGCACCAACUGACGCUGAGGCUCGAAAGUGUGGGUAGCAAACA
rnacentral:rRNA from 1 species